GGGGCUCACAUCAAUGUCCUCCCAUCUUACCCCUGCCAGUCCCCAGCGCCCAGCACAAGGCUGGACACAGAAAUAAACAUCGCCCUUUGGAAUAAACAAAUGUGAGAGUGACUCCUGACCUGAACAGCCCAGCCCCCUACCCCGGGCCUUUCCCAGCUGUCAUAAAUCUAAUGGCUUUUAUUGCCCUAGGAUUUUUACAGUACCCAUUACCAUAGCAGUUGGGAACUUAAUUGGCAAAAUUAAGGACAUGUACUUAGGAACUUCUAGUAAAUAUUUGCUAAUGGAUUCAUAUUAGCAGGUCCUGCUGGGACAUCUGGUACAGUCAGAACUUGUCUGCCUAAAAACUUGUCCCAAAGCUGGGGGAAGCUGUUUCCUGGCCUGAACUUUCUCUGGGGCUGUGAGAGGCGAGGGCUCAGGAAAAGAUGGUCAGGUUCAGUGGAAUUUGGAUCCUUGAAAGGAAGAAAAGGGUGACGGAAAGGGCAGAGGGAACUGCAACUGGAUCCUAAGCCACCCCGUCUGUGACCUGGGCCUUGUCACCGCAAGGCUCUCGUGUUGGUUGGAACUCCGAGAGCGCCGACAGACAACACGAGGCGGUGUGGAGCGACAGGCUGUUUCAGCGAGCGCCCAGGUGCGGGCGGCUCGAGGCCUAAAAUGGCGUCAGCACCAAAUGAGGGCGGGGCAGGGGUUUUAUGGUCUCCUGGAAACAGGAAGUGUCUCAGUCUGACGUAACUGCUACGCGGUACCCGGAUGGCCUCUCUCCGGGUCUUCGGGGGUGCGCGUCUUCCGGCCGACCCUCCUCCUGCUCCUGCUAUGUUGCUGACCCACGCUGCUGGCGCGAGUGGUCUUGCCCCUCGGGACCCGAGGAGGGAGGAGUUCUUCGUUCCCUUCAGCUUUCAGGCCCCAGGGAGAACCUUUCAGUCACAGGCAGCCUAGGUUCAAGAAGAAGAAAACCUGAGGCCUCGGCUCACCCUGACAGGGAAGUGGCGUGGGGACCGCUAAAGGACUGCGAGGUUCCACUGCCCAGGGCUGUCUAACCGCUUGCUUUAGACUGUGGGUGCACGGAGUCCGUCACUCAGCCUCCAGGACCAGGGCUCCUGAUGUGUGAGCGCGUUCCAUUCCCCCAUUCCCACAAGAACCCUCGCUCCCGCGAAGGCCUCCUGAGCUUGCGCGACUCCGCUGGGCCUUGGAGAGCUCUGGGGAGGGAGGCGCCUCUCCAGCACCCAGAUCCCCAGCCUGCAGCGCCUCGGGGCCAGUGUGGCCCGGAAUGGCAGGUUUGUCACACACUGCCGCUGGAGUGGGACUUGGCGUGGCUUUUCUGGAGGGCGACCUACAUCAAGGGGCAUGCAUGCGCCCUUUGAGCUACAGAUUUCUCAGCUGGGAAUGAAUUAUGAAUGUCCUUUAGCCUUGGCCGAGAGGGUGUACAGCUCUGCAGUGUUCCUGUCGGAAACUGGAAAUAGCCUGAGUGCAAAUCCAGGAAGGCCAUUCACGACGUUGUCACAGAAGAAGUGGAGGUCAGUACCACUGCCAUCAUGACUGCAAGCAGAGCAAAUGGACAGAGCUCGCAGAGUGGCCCCAGAGCCUGCCUGGGCCCCCUUCUCACUGCUCCUCCACUCCCUGGUCUGCUGAGAGCUUGAGACACACCCUGCAAGUGUACCCUGCUGCUCCUGCCAGGUCUAGCUCCCACCAUUGGCACCACUCUGCCCAGCCCUGGCCAGUGGUACUGUUUGCAGUUAGCUUCUCACUGCCCUCUCACUGCUACUGGGGUGGGCCAUGGACCUGCAGCUGCCCCGUCCUGCCAAGAGGCUUUACCCCCAUGGCUGGGCUUCUGCUUGGGCUUACACUCCCAUAUCUGGAGGGAUUAGUACCUUGUGCCAGAUUCAACACCCCCAGAGGGGCCUUGCCCCUGGAACUCUGCCCAGUUGGUGCCAGCUGCCUUCUCCAGGGUCUGGACCUGUCCACUGUCCAUGGCCUCCAGCCACUGCAUGGAGUCCUCCAUGCUGGUUGGACCCAGCAGUUAGAACUUUCUGAGAGCAUGGCCAAGACUGAAAGCCUCAAUUCAGAACCAAAGCUGGUAGGCUACGUGGAGGUCAUUUCUAUAUGAAGUAAGGAAACACUUUCAAUGGGUUGUGUGGACCAAAACUGUUGAUGCUGCCUUGGGUGCAGUGAGCCAUCUAGGGAAGACCCCGUCCUUGCCUCUCCACGGUUUCUGGUGGCUGCUGGCAAUCCUGGGCCUUUGCUGGCUUGUAGCUGCAUCACUCCAAUCUCUGCCUCCACCGUCACAUGACCUCCUUCCCUGUGUGUCUGCA
rnacentral:lncRNA from 1 species